rnacentral:rRNA from 1 species
GANCAUGGCUCAGGAUGAACGCUAGCUACAGGCUUAACACAUGCAAGUCGAGGGGAAACGACAUCGAAAGCUUGCUUUUGAUGGGCGUCGACCGGCGCACGGGUGAGUAACGCGUAUCCAACCUGCCCACCACUUGGGGAUAACCUUGCGAAAGUAAGACUAAUACCCAAUGAUAUCUCUAGAAGACAUCUGAAAGAGAUUAAAGAUCUAUCGGUGAUGGAGUGGGGAUGCGU